UACGAAGGGGGCUAGCGUUGUUCGGAAUUACUGGGCGUAAAGCGCGCGCAGGCGGUCUUCCAAGUCAGUGGUGAAAGCCCGGAGCUCAACUCCGGAACUGCCAUUGAAACUGUGAGACUUGAGUAUGAGGGAGGUGAGUGGAAUUCCCAGUGUAGAGGUGAAAUUCGUAGAUAUUGGGAAGAACACCGGUGGCGAAGGCGGCUCACUGGCUCAUUACUGACGCUCAGGCGCGACAGCGUGGGGAUCAAACAGG
rnacentral:rRNA from 1 species